rnacentral:rRNA from 1 species
AGAGUUUGAUUCUGGCUCAGGAUGAACGCUGGCGGCGUGCUUAACACAUGCAAGUCGAACGGAGUUUUUAAACGGAAGUUUUCGGAUGGAAGUUUAGAAACUUAGUGGCGGACGGGUGAGUAACGCGUGGGUAACCUGCCUCAUACAGGGGGAUAACAGUUAGAAAUGACUGCUAACACCGCAUAAUAUAGCGAAACCGCAUGAUUUUUGCUAUCAAAUAUUUAUAGGUAUGAGAUGGGCCCGCGUCUGAUUAGCUAGUUGGUGGGGUAAAAGCCUACCAAGGCGACGAUCAGUAGCCGGCUUGAGAGAGUGACCGGCCACAUUGGGACUGAGACACGGCCCAAACUCCUACGGGAGGCAGCAGUGGGGAAUAUUGGACAAUGGGGGAAACCCUGAUCCAGCGACGCCCGCGUGAGUGAAGAAGUAUUUCGGUAUGUAAAGCUCUAUCAGCAGGGAAGAUAAUGACAGUACCUGACUAAGAAGCCCCGGCUAACUACGUGCCAGCAGCUGC